AUUGAACGCUGGCGGCAGGCCUAACACAUGCAAGUCGAACGAGUGGCGGAAGGGUGAGUAAUGUCUGGGAAACUGCCUGAUGGAGGGGGAUAACUACUGGAAACGGUAGCUAAUACCGCAUACCAUCGGAUGUGCCCAGAUGGGAUUAGCUUGUUGGUGGGGUAACGGCGCACCAAGGCGACGAGCCCGAGCUGGUCUGAGAGGAUGACCAGCCACACUGGAACUGAGAAACGGUCCAGGCUCCUACGUGAGUCAGCAGUGGGGAAGAUUGCACAAUGCGCGCAAGCCUGAUGCAGCCAGGACGCGUGUAUGAAGAAGGCCUUCGGGUUGUAAAGUACGUUCAGCGGGGAGGCGUUACCCGCAGAAGAAGCACCGGCUAACUCCGUGCCAGCAGCCGCGGUAAUAC
rnacentral:rRNA from 1 species